rnacentral:rRNA from 1 species
AGUGAACGCUGGCGGUAGGCCUAACACAUGCAAGUCGAACGGCAGCACAGUAAGAGCUUGCUCUUACGGGUGGCGAGUGGCGGACGGGUGAGGAAUACAUCGGAAUCUACUUUUUCGUGGGGGAUAACGUAGGGAAACUUACGCUAAUACCGCAUACGACCUACGGGUGAAAGCAGGGGAUCUUCGGACCUUGCGCGAUUGAAUGAGCCGAUGUCGGAUUAGCUAGUUGGCGGGGUAAAGGCCCACCAGGGCGACGAUCCGUAGCUGGUCUGAGAGGAUGAUCAGCCACACUGGAACUGAGACACGGUCCAGACUCCUACGGGAGGCAGCAGUGGGGAAUAUUGGACAAUGGGCGCAAGCCUGAUCCAGCCAUACCGCGUGGGUGAAGAAGGCCUUCGGGUUGUAAAGCCCUUUUGUUGGGAAAGAAAAGCAGCAGGCUAAUACCCCGCUGUUCUGACGGUACCCAAAGAAUAAGCACCGGCUAACUUCGUG